rnacentral:miRNA from 1 species
CGUAUUCAUGAUGAUUGCCCUGU